ensembl:lncRNA
UAUUUUUUUUUUCUCUUAAAGUCCUGUCAACAUUUACUCACUCUCAUGUUGUUUACAAAACUGUAUAUGCAAAAAAACAAACAAACAAAACAAAAAAAUCCAGUGUGUUUUUUUUUUAAUACACAUAUUAAAUAAACAUUUAAAGUAGCCUAUUUUUAUUUUCUUCUCAUUUAACUUAAGUGAAAGAAAGGAAAAAAAAAAAAAACAGAGAGGGGAAAAAAACACUUCUUCAAAACAACCUGCAGCAGCAGGUGAAAAUUAGACCUCAUGCCUGCAUAACAGAGAAACCAUUACACUCCAUGUGACAUUUACUGGCCAUAUAGAAAGAAACGGAGAGAAAUGUGUGGGCUGAUAUGAAUCUGAAACAGACGUAAUGCAGGUAUGUUUCAUAUCACCUCAAAUCAAACAAACAAGUCUGAGUUGAGGAGAAGACGUUCUGAUGAAAGCAACUACGGGUGGCAUUUCGACAUCUUGCAACAGCCAGUUUACCAGCAUAAUCUACAGCCAUUCAUCUGCAAUGAAAACAUCUCGCUGCUGGACAACACCAUACGCAUUUCCAACCAUCUCAGAUGGUACGGGGAGGUGCGGUGUGCAGAUGUACUUGUUGGCUUGAGCAGCUGAACUUAAAACAGAGCCAAGCCAAACAGCUUCUAAUAGGAAUGAACCUUGUCUUUGGCAGUACUUAAGAACUCCUCCCUUGAAUGAUAGGACACUCAAUAUCCCUCCUUAUUUGGCUCGGAGAGGACUGGAUGGGGUUAUCAAUUUUAAACAAGGAGAUAAACUCAAAACAUACCAGACACCUUCUGGUCAGCAUCUGUCAAGUAGUUUUCCAACAGCCUUUUUCAUUAAUGGACUUGUGUUGGGAGAUUGUUUCAGGACUGUGAAAAAGAUGAGAAGAAUACUACUACUUCUUCCAGACCCCCCCUCAAAAAAAACAAAGACUUUGUUAUAUUGGUCUCUUAUUUCUAGCACAUCUAUCAUUCAGUCAUAAAGACGAUCUGGUUCUGACAGCUGUGCCAGCAGGCUGUGGGCUGAAGAUGAAUAUGGCUUUUUGACACGCCGCAGGUCAUUACAGUGAAAAGAUAAGGUGAGGGACGCACCUUUGAAGACCGAUGCACUGCUUAAGAGUGAUUAAUUGUCCAUGUCGGAGAAAUGUACACAGAGAGAACAACAGCUGUUUUCAUUUACAUAUCUGAGGCAGGAAUGUGUGCUUAAUCUGACAGCUAGAAUCACUACAGAACUGCAAAAAAAAAAAAAAAAAAAAAACACUUUUCAUUUUUUUAAAUCUUGAGUUGCUAACAUGACAUUUAUUAAUAAAUAAGAUAAUAAAAUAAAAUAAAAUGAUAAA